rnacentral:tRNA from 1 species
GGCUCAGUGGUCCGAUGGUAAAGCGCUCGCAACAGAGGGUCCUGGGUUCGAUUCCCAACAGGGUCG